rnacentral:misc_RNA from 1 species
AAGUCGUAACAAGGUUUCCGUAGGUGAACCUGCGGAAGGAUCAUUGCGGGUUUAUUACCAUUACACACACCUUUGUGCACAGGCGGAAUCCUUUUUCCGUUUUCUCAUACGAAACGCCCUUGUUUUAUGCAAUGUCAUUACAAAUAUCGUAAUAACACAACUUUCAACAACGGAUCUCUUGGCUUUC